rnacentral:lncRNA from 1 species
UUAACCCCUGAGAGGCUGCACUUAGUCACCGAGAGAACAUCCUGUGGCCUCCUUGCUUCUGAACAGGCCUGCUGGCUGGAGGGCUUGCACUGUCCCUUGGGCCCAGGAGGAAACAGAGGCCCAGAGUAGGAUGAUAUCACUGGGAGGGUUCAUCACCAUUCUUUCCACAAAUGAAGCUGGGUUCCUGUAUGUCACCUCAUCCUUGCAGCUCGCCCAGGAACUGGAAGGCACUGAGGAACCUUUGGAAGUAGAGGAUAGUGGCUAUCUAUGUAAGAAUCCAUUCAUUCAUUCUUG